GGCGGCAGUUAGAGUCCGAAUUGCCCCUCCCCAAGGGGCCCGCCGCCGCCCCUCCCACCCGCAGUCCAUGGCGGGCGCGGAGGCGGGCGUCAUGCGGAGGGCCGGAGGUUUCGUGUCGGUAGUACUGGCCCUGGUGCUAGCCGCGAGGCUCCCCGCGCUCGGCCGGCCGCCGCCGCCGCUGGGUCGACUCCUUGCCCUGUGGGAGCUGUGGCCAGGUUAUAUAAAAGAGUGUCAGCUACUAUCAAUGGUAACAGUAAACAAUUCUUCAAAUAAAACAUCACAACUUGUGGACCCAGAACAAUCAACAUUGAAAAAAAAUCUAAUUUCUCAUGGUUUUUGGCAGAACACUUCUACGGUUGGAAGAAAUUACAAAAAAUUUAAAACAAAAUCAGAAGCAACUAGAAGAAAAACUGACAAAUACAAGCACCAAUGGAAGCUACUCAGAAAUAACAUUGUAAACAUUUUCAUGAAUCAAAACAAGCCACAACUAAUUACCAGUGAAGGCAUAAAAACACAAGUUUCCAAAAAGUGGACAGGAAGUGGAAAAAUAACUUCAACUGAAACAAAUGCAGAGCUAAUAGAAAAAGCAAGAAAGAUCCUAAAGCUUGGGAAAACUGAAAAUACUAAGAUAAGUCAACACAAAAUUAAUUCACAUCUACAGAAUGAAUUUAAAAUUGUUGAAAAGAAAACUGCAAAUAAAAGAAAGCAACCACAAAGAAAGUUGUGUGACAAUUCUGGUAUAUUUAACAAAUGCUUUGGAACUAAGUCAUCGUUGGUUAAUACAUUUUUGACAGCAAAUUUUCUAUCAACUGUUAAAGGAAAAUGUUGCAGAAAAAAUCUGAAAGACUUACAAAGCUUUUUGGUAUUAAAUUUAGUAAAAAAUCAGAUGGUCAAUGAAAAUAGUCAAAAUCAGACUAAAAUAAUGACUAAGGAAAAAAAUAAGUGUACCAAUGAAAGAAUUUUAGCAUUUGUCAAACAAAAGGAAUUAGCUGAAAAGAGUUCUAAAACAUGGGACUGGGAAAGAAUAGGUGCAAUCAGCAGAGAUCAGCAUAAAAUAUUAACUGAUGCAAGAAAAGUGUUAAUAAAUGCAGAAAAGAAAAGUCAACAUACUAAACUUCAGAAAUAUGGACAUAUACCUAAAGAGUUUCAGGAAAUAACUGGAUCUGUAAACAAUAUACCAAGUGGAAUAAGCAGUUGGAAAAGAAAAUCAGAAAGAAUGUCGACUAGGCCUUACAAGAAAAAACAAAACAUUUUAAACUCAAUGAAACAAAGAUCAGUAGGAUUACAAAAGGGUCAACCAAAUAUGAAAGACAUAGAUGGAGUGUACACAACUGGAAAAUCAGACAAAAAUAAUGGGAGCAUGGAUGUAUUGUUUAAUAGCUUGCCUGAAGUAGGAAUCAAAGUAAUACUUCAAGGUAAAGAGCAAAGAACUAAAGCAACUCCAAAAUCUGUUGAUGAAAAUCAGAGAUCUACACAAGCAAUGAUCUUGCAAAGAGGCAAAGAAAAUGUGCAGGAAAAGUGGUCAAUAUAUAAAACUGGUUCUUCUAGAACUCAUGAAAGAAAACAAGAUAUUUUUAAAACUGAAGCUUCUAGAAAACAGAAAUGGAGAGGGAAUCCGGUUGAAGUACAUAUACCUAAAAAAGAAAGUACUGUGUUUAGAGUGGAAGAGUUGGAAUAUUCAUCCAGAAAUGACCAUGUAGAACCUACAAAGUUAAAUUCUGUCUUUCCAACCACAAAGUAUGCUGUAAGUGUUAAACAGGCAUUAUUUACACCAGAAAUAGGACAAGCAAAGUCUUCAAGACACGUGGGAAAAAUGGUGACACAUAGCAUGUCAACUUCAUGGGAGGUAAAACAGAAAUAUUUAAGCUGUGCUCGAAAGGAUUUAAAUGUUAAAGCUAGAAGAGCUGCUGUAUCAAACAAACAAACUGUGAAUAGUAAAUAUAAAAAAAUCAAUAAAAGAGAUUAUUUACCAGUACCUUCAAUAUAUCCUUAUAAACACACUUCUCAAAGUGUAUCCGAUGGUGAAAGAAGGAAACAAUCAACACAGGGUGAAAGUGUAAAGGUAUCUGUAGGUUUUGUGAGCCAUUUAGUCUCCGUUCUAGUAGCAGGUGCUACUAUUCUUGGAAUUGCCUUCUUUGCUUUGGGAUUAGCAGUGUUUUA
rnacentral:lncRNA from 1 species